CAGCAUGCCAGAAUUAGAGGGGCCCCAUUACAGACCUGUUUUGCGGUCCUGCACCUGGGCACCCGUGGUGCAGAGAGCUGUGUGCCAAGCUGCUACACCAGGAUGGAUUAUGUCAUGUUAGAGUGAGACAGCUCCUGCUGACUUGCAAAAUUUGAGUAGCACCGAGCGCAUAACAGUUCUCCAAGCAAAAAUGCAGGAAAUCCGGAAACGCUACCGGUUGCUGAAAGCUGAGUUGGCUGCCAUUGACCGGAAAAAGCGUUUAAAGAAAAAAAAAGAGCUGGAAAGGGCUGCUGCCACAUCAAGUUCUUCACCAAAUGGAAUGCCAGGGGAAUGCAGCAGAAAGCAAAAGUGUGGCCCAGCAUUAAUGCACCAGUCAAAACAAAGCUGAAUUUUGAUUCCUGUUCAUUAUGGUAGCUCAAAAAUGUCAAAGCAAGCUCCUGAAAAUAUUUGCUGGCUCCUUUUAACAACUGCCUCAAGGUCAGAUUCAUAGGAAUUGAAACUGGAAUAAAUAUUCUAGUGUUCUCUGCUUACAUUGUGUCUGACUCUAGUUCAAUUGACCAAAAUAUUGUAACACCUGCAAAAUAACGUUACUGAUACGACUGCUAAAUUACAAUGAUAAGUUUUGGAAGCAGUGACUGUGUUAAAAAUUACCAGUGACCUAGGACUGACAAGAGUCAUUGUAAUAAUUUCAGUGAGGAUAUAAUACCCAAACCAGAAUGAGCAAGUAUACUAAAAUAGUAGGCAGAAGGGAACUUUCUCCAUACUAAGACAGAUAGCCAGGUAGUAGAACUAAAGAUCACUGCAACCAGUGCUAUCUUAAAGAAAAACAGAAAGCAACACAAACAUAAUUCUGAAUAGAAUCACCACUGUGCAUGUCAUAACCCCAAAGUUAUUUAACAUGACAAUUAUCUUGCCCUAAACUUAAAGCCUCACUCAGUUUUCUAUCUUUUUAAAUUCUAAGGCUAUUAUUUUAAAUUACCUACAUGUGGUGGCACCCUGAAUAGUAUUCUGGAGAAGAUCAGCAUCCACAAGAAGACAGUGUAGUAUAGUUAAGCACUUGGAUUUCUAGGGGAGGAAGAAGAAAAACCACCACUACUUACUGACUGGACAGGCUUAUUAGCUGCACUUCCAAACAACAGGCUACAGGAAUAAUGAAUGCAAAGCAAACCAGAAAACCAGACCCACCUGGAACACAUUGUGUUCUCAGCUGCCAGUGAAAAAAUGUUUCAUCUUACAAAGGACUAACAGUGCACAAACCAUCUUUAGAGGGAGCUCUGCAGACAUGAGUCAGGUGUUAAAACACCUUCUGGAAAGUCUAAGCACUCCUUCUGGAGUGAAUAGAACAAAACACAGCCAAUCAAGCAAAAACUGAGGCAGUAUAAAGUUUCUUCUGGUGAUGGGAAGCACAUCCUGUCCACGUGAGCCCAUGCUGCACCCACCUUGUCCACAGUGACAGCAGGCACCUGAUUCCUCUCCAAAGACACUUACAUAUAGAAGCCAGCUGAGAGGUGUACUACAGAAGCAUAAGCUGCGCUGGGUGCACAGCGUCAUAACAAAACAGCAAUUACUUCCAGAAAUUAUCCUAGAAGAGCAGCUCGCAAUAUCUGUCACACUUUUAUUUCACAGAGCAGUUGGAGACGCAAAACUGCUGUUUACUCUAAAAUGAGUGUUCCAAGCUUUGCAAGCAGCCACAGACACCUCCCAAUUUGAGUAUACAUAGCAUCAAGUGGUGAAAGCAGAGUCACCACUGACACCAGUGAGAAAUUUUAACACCAUCCUUAGGGAUUUUUAGCCCUAGAACAUCAAACAGGUCAGGUCUGUCUGUUCUCAUUUGCCAAAUGCCAUUGCACGGUCUCUGCUGUAAGGAAGGAUAUCCACCAACAAAAUAUCUGCCACAAGAGUUGCCGCUCAAGGCCAGCAGAACCAAAGGUUGCUGAGCAUCAAACAGAUGCACCCAGUCUGAAGGGCUUUCAGAACUCUACAGAACUCUGCCACAUGGUUUCCAGUGACACAGACUUUGAACAAAACAUCCAGCACAGUAUCUGCAUGUAUGCCAAAGCACAGCAAUGUCCUGGCUCAUGACUUGUGUAUUAUAUAGACU